AACUUACCGAAAGGUGAGCUAAUGCCGGAUGAGUUAUAUAAGUGCAUGUUUAUAUAGGAAAAGUUGGGGAGACCUGACGCUGAAAGAUGGACUCGCGUCCCAUUAGCUAGUUGGUAGGGUAAUGGCCUACCAAGGCGACGAUGGGUAGCCGGCCUGAGAGGGUGGCCGGCCACACUGGGACUGAGACACGGCCCAGACUCCUACGGGAGGCAGCAGUGGGGAAUUUUGCGCAAUGCUCGUAAGAGUGACGCAGCGACGCCGCGUGAAUGACGAAGGCCUUCGGGUCGUAAAGUUCUUUCGACAGGGAAGAAAAUGCCUAUAAGUAACUGUGUAUGUAUUGACGGUACCUGUAUAAGCAGCCCCGGCUAACUCCGUGCCAGCAGCCGCGGUAAUACGGAGGGGGCGAGCGUUGUUCGGAGUGACUGGGCGUAAAGAGCACGUAGGCGGUGUUGUAAGUCAUUAGUCAAAGACUAGAGCUCAACUUUAGUAAGGCUAGUGAUACUGUAAUACUAGAGUAUCAGAGAGGAUUGCAGAAUUCCUGGUGUAGCGGUGAAAUGCGUAGAUAUCAGGAGGAAUACCGUUAGCGAAGGCGGCAAUCUGGCUGGAAACUGACGCUGAGGUGCGAAAGCGUGGGUAGCAAACAGGAUUAGAUACCCUGGUAGUCCACGCUGUAAACGAUGGAUGCUAGGUGU
rnacentral:rRNA from 1 species